ncrna:unclassified sequences DTF3800-VII RNA
UGCAGGCAUGCGCGGGAGCAAGACCAGGCCGGUGUAGGCCGGCAGCGCCGUGACGACGGCGUGGGAUCCUGGUCCCCGGGGCCUGCACAAUU